CCAACUUUUUUGAUUUUCAUCGUUUUAAUUAUUGGUGAUGCUUUUGUUUUUGUUCUGAGUUAAUGUUUUUGCGAUUCUUUCUUCUUCUCAUGAUUAGAGUGCGGAUUUGGGCAAAUCUGGGUGUCUUUAUCAAUUCAUGUUUGUGGAUCUUGGAGCCCAACACUGCAAUAGCGGCUGCAAUAUUUGAAUUAAAAGGAAAUGUUUGAGUGUCGUAGCGGAAAGCAUUGUUAACUUUUAGCAUUGCUGAAUUGGAUGGAAGAAAGAAUGCAUCCCUUUAAUCAGGGCCUCUUCAAAGAAACUAAGACCAAUGAGAUGUGUCUUAGAAUUUGCUCUAGAAGUAAAGAUGUUGUGGAGCCUAUCAUAAAGCCUGAGCGGUACAUUAAAUGCAGCGAUAUGGGAAAUGAAUCUCUCAAUGCUGUCGCUGAUGAUGAAAAUAGGAAGCUGGAGAUUAUCCCAAGACAGUAUACUGCUGAAUGGAAGAGAUGACUUCGUAACAUUAGUGAUUGGUGUGUCUCGAGACAACUUUGGUGGAGUCACCGUGUUCUGGCACGGUAUGUUGUUUUUUAGGGUGAUAACAACGAAGAAUUUGGAAAACAAUUUGAGCGAUGGGUGGUUGCAGGAAGUGAGGAAGAGGCUCAAGCAUUGGCUGAUCAAAAAUAUGAGGGAAAGAAGUUUCGAUUAGAACAGGACUCAGAUGUGCUUGACAGGUGGUUUUCGUCUGGUCUUUUCCCAUUGUCGGUAUUGGGCUGGCCGGAUUAAGAACUUUUUAUCCAAAUUCAGUUGUUGAAACUGGGCACGAUAUUCUGUUUUUCUGGGUUGCUCGUAUGGUGAUGCUUGGAAAUAUAUUGGGCUGUAAUGUUCCUUUUACUAAGAUGAUUGCCCCUCAACCACAGAAGUAGUCCCACACUAGCCCCCUUAUUCAAAGACUUUUUCACCGUGAAUUUUGUUUUUUGGCAAAGCAUGUGAAAAUGUUUGGGGAUUCAUUUGAAUGUACUAACUGCAGUUAGAACAAAGUUUUCUUUUUAGCCCUAAU